AAAAAAAAGGUUAAAAUUGGGUAAACCCAGCCAGCAGCAGCCGUUGUAAUAUUAGCCAUUUGCCUCAAGCGUUUAGCUGUUUCAUUCUUUGUUCUUCAGUUCCCAAACCCAGACAGAUUCUAAAACAGAAAAUGCCAACCGUAAAAUGCAAGUAAUUUACCCAAAUAACAAGCAAAACACCAAAACUAAAGCGUGUUUCUCCUUUUUCUUUUGUUUUUAUCUUCAUUUUUAAAUACUUUGUUUUCAAUUGAAGACAACAUCCGAGGACAAAAGAAAACACGAGAAAGAGAAAAAGAAAGAGCAAUGGGAGCUUACAGAGCUGAUGAUGACUAUGAUUACUUGUUUAAGGUUGUCCUGAUCGGCGACUCUGGUGUUGGGAAAUCCAACCUUUUGUCUAGAUUUACCAAAAACGAGUUUAGCCUUGAAUCCAAGUCUACUAUUGG
rnacentral:lncRNA from 1 species